UGCGUAGGCGGGUUAAUAAGUCAGUGGUGAAAGUCUGCAGCUUAACUGUAGAAUUGCCAUUGAUACUGUUAACCUUGAGUAUAGUUGAGGUGGGCGGAAUGUGUCAUGUAGCGGUGAAAUGCUUAGAUAUGACACAGAACACCGAUUGCGUAGGCAGCUCACUAACCUAUUACUGACGCUGAGGCACGAAAGCGUGGGGAGCGAACAGGAUUAGAUACCCUGGUAGUCC
rnacentral:rRNA from 1 species